rnacentral:rRNA from 1 species
GUAGAACGCUGAAGCUUGGUGCUUGCACCGAGCGGAUGAGUUGCGAACGGGUGAGUAACGCGUAGGUAACCUGCCUCUUAGCGGGGGAUAACUAUUGGAAACGAUAGCUAAUACCGCAUAAAAGUCGACAUCGCAUGAUGUUGACUUGAAAGGUGCAAUUGCAUCACUAAGAGAUGGACCUGCGUUGUAUUAGCUAGUUGGUGAGGUAACGGCUCACCAAGGCGACGAUACAUAGCCGACCUGAGAGGGUGAUCGGCCACACUGGGACUGAGACACGGCCCAGACUCCUACGGGAGGCAGCAGUAGGGAAUCUUCGGCAAUGGGGGCAACCCUGACCGAGCAACGCCGCGUGAGUGAAGAAGGUUUUCGGAUCGUAAAGCUCUGUUGUAAGAGAAGAACGAGUGUGAGAGUGGAAAGUUCACACUGUGACGGUAACUUACCAGAAAGGGACGGCUAACUACGUGCCAGCAGCCGCGGUAAUACGUAGGUCCCGAGCGUUAUCCGGAUUUAUUGGGCGUAAAGCGAGCGCAGGCGGUUAGAUAAGUCUGAAGUUAAAGGCUGUGGCUUAACCAUAGUACACUUUGGAAACUGUUUAACUCGAGUGCAGAAGGGGAGAGUGGAAUUCCAUGUGUAGCGGUGAAAUGCGUAGAUAUAUGGAGGAACACCGGUGGCGAAA